rnacentral:rRNA from 1 species
UGGGGAAUUUUGCACAAUGGGCGGAAGCCUGAUGCAGCGACGCCGUGUGGGGGAUGAAGGCCUUCGGGUUGUAAACUCCUUUCGUCAGGGACGAAGUUUGUUUGACGGUACCUGGAUAAGAAGCACCGGCUAACUACGAGCCAGCAGCCGCGGUAAUACGUCGGUUGCGAGCGUUGUCCGGAGUUACUGGGCGUAAAGGGCUCGUAGGUGGUGUGUUGCGUCGUCUGGGUAAUCCAGGGGCUUAACUUUUGGUUGGCAGGCGAUACGGGCAUUGCUUGAGUGCUGUAGGGGAGACUGGAAUUCCUGGUGUAGCGGUGAAAUGCGCAGAUAUCAGGAGGAACACCGAUGGCGAAGGCAGGUCUCUGGGCAGUUACUGACGCUGAGGAGCGAGAGCAUGGGUAGCGAACAGG